GCCACUGUAGGCAUGUGGCCGCAUUUCCCAAAACAAAGCUUAUUGAGCCUGUGGGAGCCAACUUCACCUUCCAGACUUAAGUCUCUCUGAAAGAGCUUUGUAAUAACAGGGAAAGAUUUUCGAGGAGUGGGAAGAGGGAGAGCAAUAACUAAAGGAAUGG